GAUUGGUGUGAAACUUUCUUUCUUAAAAAACAAUUGGUUGUUUCAUUGUAACAACUCACAAACACGAAUCUGUCAAGCCAGCUGUCACUCAAACCAAAAACUUUCGGUACCUCGUAUCCAAUUGAUAAUGAGGUGUCGAAAAAAUACAUGUGUUGGUUUCGACUUCAGGAUCACGUAAGAGAUUGUUGUGAAAUCAUUAUUGUUUCUGAACUUUUACGCAACACUUCUGAACUUGAAGCAACAGCAAGAUGAAAAAUAUCACUGCUUUAUUAUUUAUUUCAUUAACUUACCAAAUAACUUUGGGAGCACCAAAUCAAGCAUCAGAUUUAAAUUCCCAUUCAGGUGAUUCACUUAUUACUGACCCAGGAAAUAAUGCCAUUUUGAAUCAUGUUGAGGGGGAAACUGUAUCCAACCAGUUUCAACCUGAAAACAUAAAACUAGAGGAACAGACAUCCAUCAAUGCAGAUGAAUCUCCAAAAAUUGAAGAAACUUCUCCAGACUUCAAACAAGAUGGAAAUGAAAAUGCUUUACUCCCUAGUGACUCCCAGAAUCAUAAUAAAAUAGGCAUUGAAAAAGUUUUGAAAUUAGUCCAUAGCCUGUUCACAAUGUUACCAACAUGGAUUCUUGAAAUUCUGUACAACAUAAUCACAUUUCUUGAUGAAUUUUUAUCUGAUGCAUCAAUGACUUAUGCACAAUAUGGUAACGUUUUUUCAAGUUUGAUCGAUAAAUUAGAUGAUUUAUUGUGAUACUAGCUACACUUUGCUCUUUUUCAAAAAAUGUAUUAGUUACCAAUACAUAAAUCUUGCAUUAGA